rnacentral:rRNA from 1 species
GAUGAACGCUGGCGGCGUGCCUAAUACAUGCAAGUCGAGCGAACAGAUAAGGAGCUUGCUCCUUUGACGUUAGCGGCGGACGGGUGAGUAACACGUGGGUAACCUACCUAUAAGACUGGAAUAACUCCGGGAAACCGGGGCUAAUGCCGGAUAACAUUUAGAACCGCAUGGUUCUAAAGUGAAAGAUGGUUUUGCUAUCACUUAUAGAUGGACCCGCGCCGUAUUAGCUAGUUGGUAAGGUAACGGCUUACCAAGGCAACGAUACGUAGCCGACCUGAGAGGGUGGUCGGCCACACUGGAAGUGAGACACGGUCCAGACUCCUAAGGGAGGCAGCAGUAGGGAAUCUUCCGGAAUGGGCGAAAGCCUGACGGAGCAACGCCGCGUGAGGGAUGAAGGUCUUCGGAUCGUAAAACUCUGUUAUUAGGGAAGAACAAAUGUGUAAGUAACUGUGCACGUCUUGACGGUACCUAAUCAGAAAGCCACGGCUAACUACGUG